rnacentral:rRNA from 1 species
GAUGAACGCUAGCUACAGGCUUAACACAUGCAAGUCGAGGGGAAACGGCAUCGAAAGCUUGCUUUUGAUGGGCGUCGACCGGCGCACGGGUGAGUAACGCGUAUCCAACCUGCCCAUCACUUGGGAAUAACCUUGCGAAAGUAAGACUAAUGCCCAAUGACAUCCCACGAAGGCAUCCGAAUGGGAUUAAAGAUUUAUCGGUGAUGGAUGGGGAUGCGUCUGAUUAGCUUGUUGGCGGGGUGACGGCCCACCAAGGCAACGAUCAGUAGGGGUUCUGAGAGGAAGGUCCCCCACAUUGGAACUGAGACACGGUCCAAACUCCUACGGGAGGCAGCAGUGAGGAAUAUUGGUCAAUGGGCGAGAGCCUGAACCAGCCAAGUAGCGUGCAGGAUGACGGCCCUAUGGGUUGGAAACUGCUUUUAUAAGGGAAUAAAGUGGGUCACGUGUGACUUUUUGCAUGUACCUUAUGAAUAAGGACCGGCUAAUUCCGU